CUACGGGCCGCUGCAGUGAGGAAUAUUGCACAAUGGGGGGAACCCUGAUGCAGCAACGCCGCGUGGAGGAUGACGCAUUUCGGUGUGUAAACUCCUUUUAUAUGUCAAGAAAAUGACGGUAGCAUAUGAGUAAGCACCGGCUAACUCCGUGCCAGCAGCCGCGGUAAUACGGAGGGUGCAAGCGUUACUCGGAAUCACUGGGCGUAAAGGACGCGUAGGCGGGUUGGAAAGUCAGGUGUGAAAUCCUACAGCUUAACUGUAGAACUGCACUUGAAACUUCUAAUCUAGAGUAUGGGAGGGGGAGAUGGAAUUAGUGGUGUAGGGGUAAAAUCCGUAGAUAUCACUAGGAAUACCUAAAGCGAAGGCGAUCUCCUGGAACAUUACUGACGCUAAGGCGUGAAAGCGUGGGGAGCAAACGGGAUUAGAUACCCCGGUAGUC
rnacentral:rRNA from 1 species